GCCUGGCAUGGUGGCGUGUGCCUGUAGUCCCAGCUACUUGGGAGGCUGAGGCUGGAGGAUCGCUUGAGUCCAGAAGUUCUGGGCUAUAGUGCGUUAUACCAAUUUGGGUGUCUGCACUAAGUUCAGCAUCAAUAUGGUGACUUCCCGGGAGCGGGGGACCACCAGGUUGCCUAAGGAGGAAUGAACCGGCCCAGGUCAGAAAUGGAGCAGGUCAAAACUCCCAUGCUGAUUAGUAGUGGGAUUGUGUGUGAAUAGCCACUGCACUCCAGCCUGGGCAACAUAGUGAGACCCUGUCUUUA
ensembl:misc_RNA Metazoa_SRP Metazoan signal recognition particle RNA